CCGCUAUAUGGUAUAUGGCCUAUAAUGAUGUGGCUAUAAGGAUACUAAUAUAAAUAAUAUUUGUUGGGAUACGGCCACAUACAUGUAAAUCAGUACAUGUAUGCGGUAUGGGUGGUCAGUUUACACAAGCAUAAAACCAAGGUGAGGAUAACAAAUUUCACAGAUUUUGUGGAUUUUUAUUAAAUACUGCGAAGUCAAUUUAAUAAUACCAUACAAGAUGGCUAAAUAGCUCAGGACUUCUGUGAAAAUUAGUUUCAUGAACCUCUGGAUACAGGUCAUUUGCAAAAAUUUUUAUCCCAAAAAAAGACCUCUCUUGCUUGACCUUUUUUGAUGAGUGGCUUCAUCAUAAUAUGUAUACUUAAUUUCUCAUUAUAGGAGUUGCCUUUGGAAUAUAGCUGUAACUUCUGAAUCUUGUUCCUUUUGUGCGGAAAAAAUUUCCAGACAUGAAAUGAGCUCAAUUUUGUCUGAUGAAGAACUUUUUAAUAAAGAUCUACCGUAUCGUAUCUAUUGCAGCACUACUAAUUGUUUUGGCUCAUGCUUCUAUAAAAACCAAGGGGACUUUAAUUGCUAUUCCUGUGGUCAU